rnacentral:rRNA from 1 species
AUGUGCUCAUAUGCACGUACAACACACACGAACAGUGCUACGUCUUCCCAGAGAGGAAACAACGCCAACCUGCUACAACUUCACGCUGGAUACAUCACUGCAUGCCCAACGUGGAUUCAUCAUGUAGCCGGCCUUGAAAUGCAAGUGUUGUGCUGGAUGACCUUGAUUGAUACAAAUCAACCGACGGCAGCAGCGAAGCAAAACAGUGACGAGAGAUGGAUGCCUGCACUGACUGCCUGCGAGGGAGGCGACGAACUUCUUGUGCAAAGGUGGUUGGGGGAGGUUGACGGUUGGUGGUUUUCCAGCAGAGAUCGGGAGGGAGGGCGUCGUCGCGGUGGAUCCAGGGGGAGGUUGUCCGCCGCCGCCGCCGCCAUCGAUCCGAAGGAGUCCGCCGCCACUAUGGAUCCAGGGGGAGGGAGGCACCGUCGUGGUGGAUCCAGGGGCAGGGAGGCCGCCGCCAUGGUGGAUCCAGGGGGAGGGAGGCCGGCGUGGUGGUUGUGGCCGGCAUGGUUGUGGCGGAGGCGAGGUUGGGGCCGACGGCGACGGCACCAGUGGCAGUGGAUCCUAGAGCCCGCAUCGUUGGGUUGGGCCGCCGUGGGAGCAGGGUAG